rnacentral:rRNA from 1 species
AUGCUGCGCCACGCCGCCCGCCGCCUCGCCUCCCGCGCCGCCGCUGCCGGCAGCGGCUCCAUGAGCCGCAGGGCCCUCGCGACGGCGCAGGCGCCCGCGGAGGCGGGCGAGGACCCCGCCUUCCUGGAGGCGUGGAAGAAGGUGACAACAAUCAUCGAGCCCCCCCAGACGCCCAUGUCGGCCAUGAAGCCCCGCCCGCCCACGCCGGCCUCCAUCCCCUCCAAGCUCACCGUCAACUUCGUCCUCCCCUACAAGUCCGAGAUCACCGACAAGGAGGUUGACAUGGUAAUGGUACCGGCUACAACUGGCCUGAUGGGUAUUUUGCCAGGCCAUGUUUCCACAAUUGCAGAGCUCAAGCCUGGUGUUAUGUCUGUACAUGAGGGAAAUGAUGUUACAAAGUACUUUGUGAGCAGUGGCUUUGCAUUCAUCCAUGCAAACUCCAUUGCUGAUGUUGUGGCUGUUGAGGCUGUCCCCCUUGAUCAGAUUGACCAAAGCUUGGUCCAGAAAGGUCUUGCUGAAUUCACUGCCAAGCUUGGAUCAGCCUCGACUGACCUAGAGAAGGCGGAAGCUCAGAUCGGAGUGGAUGUUCACAGUGCGCUCAGUGCUGCAUUGACUGGUUGA